UGGGGAAUAUUGGGCAAUGGGCGAAAGCCUGACCCAGCCAUGCCGCGUGAAUGAUGAAGGCCUUAGGGUUGUAAAGUUCUUUCGUUGGUGAAGAUAAUGACGGUAACCAAAGAAGAAGCCCCGGCUAACUUCGUGCCAGCAGCCGCGGUAAUACGAAGGGGGCUAGCGUUGUUCGGAAUUACUGGGCGUAAAGCGCGUGUAGGUGGAAUGGUAAGCAAGAGGUGAAAUCCCAGAGCUCAACUUUGGAAUUGCCUUUUGAACUAUCAUUCUGGAGUAUUGGAGGGGAGUGCGGAAUUCCUAAUGUAGAGGUGAAAUUCGUAGAUAUUAGGAGGAACACCGGUGGCGAAGGCGGCACUCUGGACAAUAACUGACACUGAGACGCGAAAGCGUGGGGAGCAAA
rnacentral:rRNA from 1 species